rnacentral:rRNA from 1 species
UACGUAGGGGGCAAGCGUUGUCCGGAUUUAUUGGGCGUAAAGAGCGUGUAGGCGGCCUGAAAGGUCAGCUGUGAAAACUCGAGGCUCAACCUCGAGACGUCGGUUGAAACCAUCUGGCUAGAGUCCGGAAGAGGAGUGUGGAAUUCCCGGUGUAGCGGUGAAAUGCGCAGAUAUCGGGAAGAACACCCGUGGCGAAGGCGGCACUCUGGGACGGUACUGACGCUGAGACGCGCAAGCGUGGGGAGCGAACAGG